GAUGAACGCCAGCGGCAGGCUUAAUACAUGCAAGUCGUGGGGCAGCAUGAGUAGCAAUACUUGAUGGCGACCGGCCAACGGGUGCGGAACACGUACACAACCUUCCGAUAAGUGGGGAAUAGCCCAGAGAAAUUUGGAUUAAUACCCCGUAACAUAUAGAGUAGGCAUCUUCUUUAUAUUAUAGCUUCGGCGCUUAUUGAUGGGUGUGCGUCUGAUUAGGUAGUUGGCGGGGUAACGGUCCACCAAGCCUACGAUCAGUAGCUGAUGUGAGAGAAUGAUCAGCCACACGGGCACUGAGACACGGGCCCGACUCCUACGGGAGGCAGCAGUAAGGAAUAUUGGACAAUGGGCGAAAGCCUGAUCCAACCAUGCCGCGUGAAGGAUUAAGGUCCUCUGGAUUGUAAACUUCUUUUAUUUGGGACGAAAAAAGGGAAUUCUUUCCCACUUGACGGUACCAAGUGAAUAAGCACCGGCUAACUCCGUGCCAGCAGCCGCGGUAA
rnacentral:rRNA from 1 species